rnacentral:rRNA from 1 species
GAUGAACGCUGGCGGCGUGCCUAAUACAUGCAAGUCGAGCGAAUGGAUUAAGAGCUUGCUCUUAUGAAGUUAGCGGCGGACGGGUGAGUAACACGUGGGUAACCUGCCCGUAAGACUGGGAUAACUCCGGGAAACCGGGGCUAAUACCGGAUAACAUUUUGAACCGCAUGGUUCGAAAUUGAAAGGCGGCUUCGGCUGUCACUUAUGGAUGGACCCGCGUCGCAUUAGCUAGUUGGUGAGGUAACGGCUCACCAAGGCAACGAUGCGUAGCCGACCGGAGAGGGGGAGCGGCCACACUGGGACUGAGACACGGCGCAGACUCCGACGGGAGGCAGCAGAAGGGACUCUUCCGCAAUGGACGCAAGUCUGACGGAGCAACGCCGCGUGAGUGAUGAAGGCUUUCGGGUCGUAAAACUCUGUUGUUAGGGAAGAACAAGUGCUAGUUGAAUAAGCUGACACCUUGACGGUACCUAACCAGAAAGCCACGGCUAACUACGUGCCAGCCGCCGCGGUAA